AGAGUUUGAUCCUGGCUCAGAUUGAACGCUGGCGGCAUGCCUUACACAUGCAAGUCGAACGGCAGCACGGGAGCAAUCCUGGUGGCGAGUGGCGAACGGGUGAGUAAUAUAUCGGAACGUACCUUUCAGUGGGGGAUAACGUAGCGAAAGUUACGCUAAUACCGCAUAUUCUGUGAGCAGGAAAGCAGGGGAUCUUAGGACCUUGCGCUGAUUGAGCGGCCGAUAUCAGAUUAGCUAGUUGGUGAGGUAAAGGCUCACCAAGGCGACGAUCUGUAGCGGGUCUGAGAGGAUGAUCCGCCACACUGGAACUGAGACACGGUCCAGACUCCUACGGGAGGCAGCAGUGGGGAAUUUUGGACAAUGGGGGCAACCCUGAUCCAGCCAUGCCGCGUGAGUGAAGAAGGCCUUCGGGUUGUAAAGCUCUUUC
rnacentral:rRNA from 1 species